CAGCCGCCGCGGGAAUACGUAGGUCCCGAGCGUUGUCCGGAUUUAUUGGGCGUAAAGCGAGCGCAGGCGGUUAGAUAAGUCUGAAGUUAAAGGCUGUGGCUUAACCAUAGUACGCUUUGGAAACAGUUUAACUUGAGAGCAAGAGGGGAGAGUGGAAUUCCAUGUGUAGCGGUGAAAUGCGUAGAUAUAUGGAGGAACACCGGUGGCGAAAGCGGCUCUCUGGCUUGUAACUGACGCUGAGGCUCGAAAGCGUGGGGAGCAAACAGGAUUAGAUACCCCGGUAGUCCCUGUCUCUUAUACA
rnacentral:rRNA from 1 species